rnacentral:rRNA from 1 species
GUUGAAGCGCGGGUAAGACCGCGUGGAGGACCGAACCCACCUGGGUUGAAAACCGGGGGGAUGACCUGGGGCUAGGGGUGAAAGGCCAAUCAAAUUCCGUGAUAGCUGGUUCUCUCCGAAAUGCAUUUAGGUGCAGCGUCGGUUGAUUGCAUCGCGGGGGUAGAGCUACUGGAUGCUUGCGGGCCCGUGUCGGGUACCAAUAGCAGCCAAACUCCGAAUACCGUGGAUGUGUAUUCCGGCAGUGAGUCGGCGGGGGAUAAGCUCCGUCGUCGAGAGGGAGACAGCCCAGAUCGUCGUCUAAGGUCCCGAAGCGUGUGCUAAGUGGGAAAGGAUGUGGAGUCGCAUAGACAGCCAGGAGGUUGGCUCAGAAGCAGCCAUCCUUGAAAGAGUGCGUAACAGCUCACUGGUCUAGUGGUUCCGCGCCGACAAUGUAGCGGGGCUCAAGCACACCACCGAAGACGCGGCAGCGGCCUUUGUGGCCGUUGGGUAGGAGAGCGUCCCGCGUGGGGCGAAGCGGCCGGGGAACCGUGCCGUGGACCGCGCGGGAGUGAGAAUGCAGACAUGAGUAGCGAGAGACGGGUGAGGAUCCCGUCCGCUGGAUGACCAAGGGUUCCGGGGCCACGUUCGUCGUCCCCGGGUGAGUCGGGUCCUAAGGCGAGGCCGACAGGCGUAGUCGAAUGGAUGAACGGGUGGAUAUUCCCGUACCGGCGGCGUACCGUAAGAGCCGAACGGAUGAGUACUAACCUCCGGUCGCGUGGCGUCGUUCCCUUCGGGGUUCGGGGCGCGUGGCUGUUGGGAGCGUAGUCCCGGUAGGCUAGCGCACAGGGGUGACACGGAAUGGGAGCCGGCCGCGGAGGUGGUUUUCCGUGGUCAAGCACGCAGCCCGUCCCAUAGGCAAAUCCGUGGGACGCAUAGGGUGAGGUGUGAUGAUGGGCGUCCUUUGGACGCGAUAUCCGGUGGUCCAGGCCGUCGAGAAAAGCCUCGGCGCGAGGGGCGUCGCCGCCCGUACCCCAAACCGACACUGGUGGUCAGGUAGAGAAUACCAAGGCGAUCGAGCGAAUCCUGGUCAAGGAACUCGGCAAAUCACUCCCGUGCCUUCGGUAUAAGGGAGACCCCCGGGCGUGAAGAGGCUUGCCCUCGGAGCGUUGGGGGGUGGCACAGACCAGGGGGUAGCGACUGUUUACCAAAAACACAGGUGCAUGCGAAGGCGCAAGCCGCUGUAUAUGCACUGACGCCUGCCCGGUGCCGGAAGGUUAAGAGGAUCCGUCAGCCCCUUUUGGGGUGAAGCGGUGAAUUCAAGCCCCGGUAAACGGCGGUGGUAACUAUAACCAUCCUAAGGUAGCGAAAUUCCUUGUCGGGUAAGUUCCGACCUGCACGAAUGGCGUAACGACUUCCCCACUGUCUCGACCAGGAGCUCGGCGAAAUUGCAGUACGAGUAAAGAUGCUCGUUAAGCGCAGAAGGACGAAAAGACCCCGGGACCUUUACUAUACCUUGGUAUUGGCGUUAGGCGCGGAUUGUGUAGCAUAGGCGGGAGGCUUCGAAGCAUGGGCGCCAGCCCGUGUGGAGCCGCAAGGUGAAAUACCGCUCUGUUCUCGUUUGACGUCUAACCUCGAACAGUCAUCCUGUUCAGGGACAGUGCCUGGCGGGUAGUUUAACUGGGGCGGUUGCCUCCCAAAGAGUAACGGAGGCGCUCAAAGGUCCGCUCAGCCCGGUUGGCAAUCGGGUUUCGAGUGUAAUCGCACAAGCGGGCUUGACUGCGAGAACGACGGUUCGGGCAGGGACGAAAGUCGGAGAUAGUGAUCCGGUGCCGGCGCACGGGCGCGGCAUCGCUCAACGGAUAAAAGGUACCCCGGGGAUAACAGGCUGAUCAUUCCCAAGAGUCCAUAUCGACGGGAUGGUUUGGCACCUCGAUGUCGGCUCGUCGCAUCCUGGGGCUGGAGCAGGUCCCAAGGGUUCGGCUGUUCGCCGAUUAAAGCGGCACGCGAGCUGGGUUCAGAACGUCGUGAGACAGUUUGGUCUCUAUCCUCUGCGCUCGUUGGAAUCCUGAGGAGGCCUGCCCAUAGUACGAGAGGACCUGGGUGGACGGACCUCUGGUAUGCCGGUUGUCGCGCCAGCGGCAUGGCCGGUUGGCUACGUUCGGGAGGGAUAACCGCUGAAAGCAUCUAAGCGGGAAGCCUGCUCCAAGAUUAGGAUUCCUUGACGCUCCCCGGAGCGUUUGU